rnacentral:rRNA from 1 species
GAUGAACGCUGGCGGCGUGCCUAAUACAUGCAAGUCGAGCGAACGGACGAGAAGCUUGCUUCUCUGAUGUUAGCGGCGGACGGGUGAGUAACACGUGGAUAACCUACCUAUAAGACUGGGAUAACUUCGGGAAACCGGAGCUAAUACCGGAUAAUAUUUUGAACCGCAUGGUUCAAAAGUGAAAGACGGUCUUGCUGUCACUUAUAGAUGGAUCCGCGCUGCAUUAGCUAGUUGGUAAGGUGACGGCUUACCAAGGCAACGAUGCAUAGCCGACCUGAGAGGGUGAUCGGCCACACUGGAACUGAGACACGGUCCAGACUCCUACGGGAGGCAGCAGUAGGGAAUCUUCCGCAAUGGGCGAAAGCCUGACGGAGCAACGCCGCGUGAGUGAUGAAGGUCUUCGGAUCGUAAAACUCUGUUAUUAGGGAAGAACAUAUGUGUAAGUAACUGUGCACAUCUUGACGGUACCUAAUCAGAAAGCCACGGCGAACUACGU